GAUGUACGCUGGCGGCGUGCCUAAUACAUGCAAGUCGAGCGAACGGACGAGAAGCUUGCUUCUCUGAUGUUAGCGGCGGACGGGUGAGUAACACGUGGAUAACCUACCUAUAAGACUGGGAUAACUCCGGGAAACCGGAGCUAAUACCGGAUAAUAUUUUGAACCGCAUGGUUCAAAAGUGAAAGACGGUCUUGCUGUCACUUAUAGAUGGAUCCGCGCUGCAUUAGCUAGUUGGUAAGGUAACGGCUUACCAAGGCAACGAUGCAUAGCCGACCUGAGAGGGUGAUCGGCCACACUGGAACUGAGACACGGUCCAGACUCCUACGGGAGGCAGCAGUAGGGAAUCUUCCGCAAUGGGCGAAAGCCUGACGGAGCAACGCCGCGUGAGUGAUGAAGGUCUUCGGAUCGUAAAACUCUGUUAUUAGGGAAGAACAUAUGUGUAAGUAACUGUGCACAUCUUGACGGUACCUAAUCAGAAAGCCACGGCUAACUACGUG
rnacentral:rRNA from 1 species